UUUUUUUAAUAUGAAGUAUUUGUAUUCAUGACUUUUUCCAUUACUGGUUAACACGUGUCAUUUCUUUCAUAAAAAUGAAAGGGACCAAUAGAUAUCAUCAACAAUCCAAAUACCAAAAUCAUCUUCUCACGUCCAAAAUAUCCAAUACAGUACGUCAUCUACUCCUAAGUUGUUUGCAUUCUCGUUUUUUUUUUUUUUUGUCCUAGAUAAUUCAUUCACAGACAUAUCAGAGUAACUCAAUUAUACAAAUGACCAUAUUACAAAUUAUGUACCGGAUCGACGACCUAUUUCCCCCCGAUAACUAUCACAUCGUAUCAUAACACCACAAAACUUUGACCUCGUCCUCAAACCACCCGAAUCAAAAGUUUUAUUUCUAUUUCCACCCGAAUCAAAAGUUCUAUUCUUAUUUCUCCCCGAUUAUCAUAGUUCUCAUCUAAUUUUCCAAAAAUCUGGGUUUUAUACGGUUAAAAAUCGGGUUACUGUUUUGAUGAACCAAAAGACGAAUCAUUUAACCGGAUUAAACCUUAUUCAACCCAAUUAGAGAACUAAACCAACCUGGUUAGAAAAAUUAACCUAAGAACCCAAAAUCGUUUCAGAUUCGUGGUGUUAAACUUGGGGUUGAAGAUGAUUCUUGUUUGAUUCGAUGUUAAUGAUGCAUUUUCUACUUUGAUUUGCAGAUUUUGUCUUUGCUUUUGGAACGAUUUACGAAUCCAGAUUUGUUGAAUCGUCACAAGCAGGUUUUGAUUUUUUUUUUGUUCUUGAUUUGAUUCUUUUAGACUCCGUUAAUGUUGGCUGCGAUGUACGAAAGGAUCUCUUGUGUGAAGAAUGCUCACUGAAGUUAGAGCUAAUGUAUGUUUUUUUUUAAUCAAGUUUGGGAUUUGGAUUUUGAACAUAUUAUGGACAUGCUAACUGUCUCUUAUCCUUUUCUUGAAUUCUUGAUCCGUUUUCAAUCAAACUCCUUGGAUGAGAAAGAGAUGAUAAAGGAGCGACUCCGUUGAAUGUGUUGUUGGACAGUGGUUUCUCUCUUCAUGCAACAUUUUCCAUUGAAACAACAUUUGUUAGAAGUUGGAACUAAUUCUCUAAGCUUUUGUUGAAUCAACAUUUGUUAAAAGUACACCAAAAUCAAUUUGGGGAUUUUGAUUCUGGGUUUUUUUGAAAUUUAGGGUUAGGGUUCUUGAGUCAAGGUGAGUUGGUCUCGGGUCGGGUUUUAAAUUUGUUAUAAACCGUGUUUCAUUGGUUUUGUAUCGGGUUUGGUUCGAAAACCAUGUAAAUCCACGCAAUUGGAGAAAUAGGGAUAGAACUUUCGAUUCGGGUAGAAAUAGCAAUAGAACUUUUGAUUCGGGUGGUUUAAAGACGAGAUCAAAGUUCUGUGGUGUUAUGAUACGAUGUGAUAGUUAUCGGGGGAAAAUAGGUCGUCGAUCCACAAAUUAUGUACCAAAUUUAGCAUUCUUGUUAAAAAAUAACCUUGUAAUUAAUACGCGCGUCACAUACAUAUAUAUCUUUCGUUCAGUGGAAAGUACAAAACAAGAUCCAGAUAUGAGACUUUUGUUUGUAGUCUACUGCAACUUUCUGAUGAGGAUAUAUAAUGAUGAUUACAUGACUUAUGAAAUGCGCUAUUCCUCUUUUCGUUCUCUUGUGCACUUGCGUGACCUCCUCUUCUAUCUUCUUAUUUCCUUAUAUUUCUUAAUCUCUAUUUCCUAUACUUGAAGAGGCUUUGAAAUUUGGAUUAAUUAGGAGGAAAUAUUUAACUAGAAAUUGUUGGGAUCAAGCUAUCAUAUAUAUCUACAUCCGUCAAAUACUUCUCUCUUUCUCUAUUUAUGACAUGUAUAUACAUUAUGAGAUCACGUACGUGAAGUAGACAAUGACUUUGAUUAGACCAGAAUCGAAUUGAAUAAUGUAUAGAAUUUGGAUGCAGACAAGAUGAGAAAACGAAACCAUUACCUGUCCACAUUAGAUAGAUUGGAUGCAUAGAGGGUCCACAUAUUACUAGUAAUGUAUUCGAGUAAUAUAGACCUUAAACUAGAAACAUGGCUUUAUAUUAGUUAAUGAUCAUACCCAUUUUGGUUGAUUCCUCCUCCUUCUGUUCUUGUAUACUAACAAGACAGGACCCAUGCAAGUUGUCAAUAGAGGUACCUCGAAAUAGAAGAGAUAAUUUGACGUGUGAGAGGAAUCAAUCACUAUUAUUAAAAAAUGUUGUCAGAGAAGGUGUUAGGGGUGCGCUAUAGUUAAUUUUUCCGAGGAGCGUUACAUCUAAUCUGAUGAAUCUAAUCCCUAGCUAGGAGCAUUAUCUUUUUGCCGAUCUUUUGUGUUUGUUUUCUUUGUUCUGAAGCAUCUUUUUAGUUUUUUUUUAUCUUUAUAUUCUAUACGUUUCAGCAACUCCUAGGGUCGCGAGGGGGAUCUUUGUAACUCCCAAACCGGUCCACGGAUAGUGAUGAGUGACCACUGUAAUCAAAAAGCAAGCAAAUCUUGUCAACCUAAUAUUGUUCACUAUUUUCCUAAAUUACAGUCCUCGAUUUAAUGUGAGAGUUUUUUUAAUAGCUUUGCCAGUUAUGGAUUGAUUCCUUGUCGUCUGUUGUGUUUUGGAGUUAUUAUUCGCAUUAUCUACAUUUUACACAUUUUGGACAGUAACUUUAAUACUUUUGAACGAGAGAACUGAUGUUUCUAUUUCAAACGCUUUACUUAAUUACAGCUCGUGGAAGUUUGUGCCGGCAUCAUAAUCUUUCAUCAUGGUAUUUUUGGUACGUUAAAUGUCAUCAAAAUACUUGUAAAUGUACAAAGUAAGUAAGUAAAGAUAUGAUGUGUUAAUUGUUUAGGGUCCCCAGAUUCUUGGUCCAUAUGGUAUAUAUAUAUACGAUAGAAUGAUAUAUUCUCUUGCCAAAAAGUUAUUUCAUUACUUGAUAUAUUUGCUCCAAAUUAAAGGGACGAAUAUAUUCAAAGAUGAGUACAUGCAUUGACCUUAUAACUUGGAGGGCAUGAACCCAGUCGUCCCUCCCCAGAGUUUAUUUAAAAAAAAAUGGAAAGAGAUAAAUAAGAUAUUGUGGUAAUAUACCUGUUGUAAAUGAUAGUGGUACGCCAUACUUGGGUUUUUUUGUUUGUUUGUUUUGUUUUCGAUCAGUUCGUUGACGAAUACAAAAAAUAAAAUAAAAAAACCAAUCAACAUCUAACCAAGGCUAGGAGAUGACGUCUAAAUUCGGAUAAAUUUAAUCCAAAUAUAUAUUGUCAGAUAUUUAAUACACAUACAUACGUGUAUUGAUAGAUAAGCUAAUCAUCACUUUUGAUGUUUGAUCUCUCUUUCUCUCACAACAAAAAUGUCAUUUUCGUUUUGUGCAAUGAUUUGCUUUCUAUCUUCGAUCUAUUUAUUGUUGUGUUAUCGUUUAAAUAAUUUUUUAGAAGAAAGAAAAUAAAAAGUUGUAAUCUAUAUUUUCUGAUUGGUAAAUUUAUCGCAUGAAUGUGAAACAAAAACUGUGAUGGAAAAUUUGUGCUUGAGAGAAAUAGUAAUUAACUUAAGAAUGAUGAUUAUAACCCUAAUAAAAUAUGUAUAACUUUAUUUACCAUGAUGAUAGUCAAUUUUAGUCAUAAAUUGUAGGGUUUUGUUCGCGUUAAAACAAAAACUUUAUACGUAGUUUGUAAUUGAGAGAGAGAAGCAAGAAGAACAAAAAAAAAAAAAAAAAAAAAACAGAGAAAGCCCCAAACCUGAAGAAGAUAACAAAUAAAAGGACUUUUGUUGGACUCUCGUGUUGUGUUGUGUCUAUCUCUCGCUGUAUAUAUAAAUACACACACAAUGACACAAAUCCUUCUUUCUUCACCUUUCCUUCCCCCACGCACACGACCCAAAAACUCAUCCUCUCCCUCCAUUUCGGACGACCUCUCAAGUCACCCCCUGCUUUUUCAUUUUUUAAUUUUCUCCACCGGGAAGUCAUAAUUAAACGUCUGGUUCCUAUACUUCUCCCGCCUAAUUUAUCGCUUUGCUUUCUCUGUUCUUUUUUUCCUUUCCACAGGUCACUCCCUUUCUUUUUUUCGCCUUUCUUCUUCUUUCUCGCCGUCGCCAUCACCGGAGAUAACUCCGUGGUGUUGCGCUUGGCCUUGUUUCCAUAUUAAUCCUCUGUGAUUCAAAAUUGAACCAAGAAGAAGAAGAAGCAGACCAACACGAUCAAGUAAAAUAUUGAUUUUUUUAAAAUCUGACCUCUCUCUGUUUAUAAAAAAAAAGAAAAAAUGAACACGACGUUACGUUACGAUCCAAGACAGAUGUCUAGGCCAACGAAACCGUCAGAUACUCCAUCUUCUUCUCCUUCUCGUAGUCACCGUAGACAGCCUUUGCUCCAACGUAGCCUCUCUUCUCCUUCUCCAAGAGCCACUUGCGGCGGAUCCACUCCCGCCGAGUUCUGCGGCGGUACCACCGCCAGUUGCGCCGCCGUCUGGUGUUGCUGUCCCUGCGGACUCGUCAACCUCCUCGUCCUCGCCAUCUACAAAGUCCCCAAAGGAAUCUGCCGCCGCGCUAUCCGGAGCCGCCGCCGCAAACAGCUCGUGAAGAGCGGGAUGCUUCCUCCGCUUCUGUCGGCCGGGAAAAACGAGCGGAUGCAGAGAGUUUUCCAGAACUCCGAAUUCGCGAUUCAUCCCUUGGAUAGCGAAGACGUCUCCGAAGACGAAGACGAUGAUAACUUCCUGGAUCUGAAGUAUAUCGGGAAGCCGGUAACGGCGGUGUUUGCGACGGAGGAGGAGGAGGAGACAGGUGAAGACGACGCGGCGGUGCUAGCGUUGGAGAAAGAGAUGUGGAAUAGGUUUUACGGCGCCGGGUUUUGGAGAAGUCCGUCACAGAGAGAAUCGGUUUCGUCUCCGAGAGUUUCGAAGUCUCUUUCGUCAUCGCCGAGAACGUCGUUUACGGAAGUAUACCGGAAUAGAGACGCAACGGUGGCGACGACAACGAGAGCCGUUAGGCAUUUUGAUUAGGUGAAUGAGUGAGGCUUUUUUUCUUGUUAAUAGUGGUUUGAUUAAUUUGUGUGUGUGAGAGAGUGUUGUUGUAAUUUGUGUGUAAAGCUUCUUCUGCCUUUUUUUUUGGUCAAAAUCUUUGGUGUUGUGACUUUUAAAUUCCAAUGGUAUGGGAUCGUCAACAAUGUGAAUUUUCGAAACAUGAAUAGCAUGUGAGUGAUGUAUUUUGUCGAUCUUGAACGCAACUAACCAUUCCAACAUUGGAAUUUUUUGAUCCGUUAGAGUUAAUUAGACCAAUUUCAAGAAAAAUGAAAAGAGUUGAGGAUACAAAACUAGAGUUUGAUUCGAUGUGUUGUAAUCUUUACUAGCUAAUCACUCGUACCACAAAAGGCAUCAGAUUGAUUAGGUGAUGCGGUAAAUAAACGAGGGACGUGGAGAGGUGAAAGUAAGAAUAAAAAGGGUAAAAAUAUAGAGAUUUAGAAGAGGGUGGGAGUAUUAUUAUUAAUUAUGGAAGCUGUCCUUACCUAUAUAUAUAUAUUCAAGGGGUUUUGGGAAGAGUUGUAGACUUUGUAGGGGUGGGUGAGGUAAUUGAAUGGGGGGGGGGACCAUGAAAAAUCACUUGUCAUUAGUGUUGUUUUAAAAAAGCAAUUAAUUCAGGUGUUGCUAGUUGCUAUCACCACCUUCAUGCCUUCUUCUUCGUCUCUCUCUAAUUUACUCUUCUUUUGUUGUGAAUUUUUCAAUUGUCUUUUUUUCUUUUUGUAACUUCACUAUCACUAAUUCAUCUUUGCAUGUUACCCUACUUCAUUUAUUUCAUCAUUUGCUGAAUCUCAUGCAAACUGUUCUUUUUUUUUUUCAGAUCUUUGUAAACAAUAAAGAUUCCUUACAGCUACGACCAAAAAAAAAACGUAAAAUAUGAUUUUUUUUCAAUAAAGACUGAACAACCAAACCAUCUCCAACCAACAUAAAAAAAGCCGUAAAAAACAUAGACAUCGUAUUAAAAUGAAAUCGUGCGUCUUGUACCGAAAGAAAAUGCCGGAGGAUUCAUUCAUCUUAUCAUUGUUAUUAUAUAAGAUAAUGUGUUUUAAAAUUAAGAAUGUCUUGGUUGUUAUUUUGUUGUUAAUAUAAAACUCACGAGGGGUUUUAAAAAAAAAAUGUAUUUACCCUUUCGGCUCUUUCGGCAACUUAAUUAGUUAAUUAUAUACUUGGACCUGGGUUAUUCGAAGAUGCGCAUAUUUUUAUGUCUUCAUUGACAAAGCAAAAGGUCAUCACCGGGAAGAAGAAAAAAGAAAUCAACUAGUGGUACGAAAAGAAAAGUAAAAGAUGGGGACCUCUCUGAAUCUUUGAUAGUCAUAGGUUUUGUAUGUAGAUGUAAUUAUAAACCCGUCCUCUCCUCUUUGGUGACCUCAUUUACCUUCUCAUUCUCACUUUGGCGGAAUGAAUAAUAUGAAGAUAACUAAAGGGUAUGUUAUAUGUAGAACCGAUCCAUGUUUUAGGUCCAAUAAUUAAUGUCAAUGUUUUAGGGAUCUUUUCUUUUAUAUAUGAAAUAUGAAAGAGUUGCAUUCGUGUUUGGAUCUUGCAAUGGAAAAGAAGAAGACAGAAACAUGCGAGAUAUAUAUAGGUUGAUUCAUUCACUGCUAAAUCGUUCGUUUUGAAUAUUAAAGUUCAUAAUUCUUCAAUAUGGAUUUUUUCAGAUGGUUCUAUAGACGACGACAAAGGGUAAAGCCCGUGGAUAUAAUGAUAAGGGCCGAAAGCAAAUAAGACAGACGAGACUACUUUGAAGUGAUGAAGUUUUUAAGUUCAAUUGGGCCUUCUUAAAGCCCUGUCUCUUUUUGUAAUCCAGCGGGAACCAUGAGAAACAUUUUGUAAAACGACAAACAUUUGCCAAAAACGCUGUCCUUGAUUUGGGUUGGAAGUAAGUGCACAUGACAAGUUGGGAGGAGCGCGUACGAGAGUGGAGUGAGUGAGAGAGAGAGUAAACAACAAACAACAAAAGGGGUAAUAAGUGGAGGAAGAGUUUGAAGGAGGUGGGACAUUUCAUAACACGAUUCACGAACAUAACGUAGCAACCAAAAGGUGUCUCUCUCUCUUACUAUAUAGUAUUAUACAUUAAAUGAUGGUUGUAAGUAUUAGGUCAUUUACAUAUACAUACCACCGACAGCUCCAUUUCAAGCCACGUGUUUCCUUCCUUCUUCUUCGGCUUCUUUCCUUUGCUUCACAUGUCUCUCUUCUUUUCUUUUAGGUUAUAUAUGAUGUUUGGUUGAAGUUCUCUUAUUAAUUUCACUUUCAAUUUAAGUAUCAACACCCACCACAUCAUUAACUUCAGAAGACUGACUAUUUAACUACUCUCCCUUUCUUUUCUUUCUAAUAAUAAUCAUCUUGUUAUUGUUAUUAUUCUCGCUGAUUGUCUUAGUCCUUGUUAUCUUAAGAGUUAAAAAGACUUUAAUAAAAGGAAAACUUCAAAGACCAUCAUUUUCACCCUAUCGUAUAAAUGCAAAAAAUGCUAAUAUUAUUGUUCCGUAUAUUUAGUUUAAUUUUAAACUAAAAUUACGAUUACUUCGUUUUACACUGAUUUUAGAAAUCAAUGUAAAAUAUUUGAGUAUCAAAUUAUAUCUGAUAUUGUAAUAUAGUACUAUGACCAUUUGAUACCUAAAUCACGGAUAAAAAAAAAAAGGAAAUACGAAUUCACUUGCAUAACUAGAAAUUCCAUCUGAAGAGUUUAAUAGCAUCAGAACUUGUUUGUUCUGAAAUUAGUAGUAAUUCUUCAUUAAUUAAAGAAAAAAGUUUAUCAAUAAAGACAAAAAACAAAAACAAAGUGGUGUGUCCCGUUGUUUAUUCAAUGAUUAUAUGAUUUUUUAAAAUGAUUUAGCCGAGAAAAAAACAAAAAAUAAAUAAAUAAUACUACUCUAUAAAAAGGGUUUGAUUAAGAGACGUAUUAAUUAAUGGGAAGCCGAGCUGAGCCGAAUAUAUAAAAAUAAAAGUCAGAGCUAAGAAAAAUAAUUAAUUCUUUUUUCAUUCAGACACCGUGUGGUCCCCAACACCAGCCUGUCCGAAAACCCAAACUUGAUACACAAACACAGACCACCGAAGCAGCUCACAUUCACAUCUCUCUCCUCUGUGUUUCUCACUCCCCACUUUCUAAUCGCCGGCUAUUCAACUAAACAUCGACAAAAAACAAACUUCAAUUCUCCAAAAACAUAUUUUUUCUUUCUUGAUUCCUUCUUCAACAGAUUAUUUCAAUCUUACAGAGCACCAUGGAUCGUUGUAUCUAUGGUUGCUCCGCCAUUACUCUCUUCUUCCUCCUCCUCACUGCAUCCGCUCUCGAACCGGGUCACCACAACGUCACCGGGUCUGGUCAAAUAAACUCCAACUCCGUUCUCGUAGCUCUCCUUGACUCUCGUUACACUGAGCUAGCCGAGCUAGUCGAGAAGGCUCUCCUUCUCCAAACCCUCGAAGACGCCGUCGGUCGUCACAAUAUUACUAUUUUCGCCCCUCGCAAUGAAGCCCUCGAGCGUGACCUCGACCCUGAUUUCAAACGCUUCUUGCUCCAACCAGGUAACCUCAAAUCUCUCCAGACGCUUCUCUUGUCUCACAUUAUCCCCAAACGAGUCGCCUCCAACCAAUGGCCUGACGAGAAUUCGGGUCGGGUCAAACACGUUACGCUAGGCAAUGAUCAAGUGCUGCAUUUAACUCAACUCAAAGGAACCAACGGCAAGAGACUGGUCAAUUCCGCUGUCAUUACCCGACCCGAUGAUUUGACCCGACCCGACGGUUUGAUCCACGGUAUCGAGCGGCUUUUGAUCCCUCGUUCCGUUCAAGAAGAUUUCAACCGACGCAGAAGUCUCCGAUCAAUCUCCGCCGUUUUACCCGAAGGAGCUCCUGAAAUCGAUCCGAGAACCAACCGUCUCAAAAAACCCGCAUCCGCCGCAGUUCCCGCCGGAUCUCCGCCGGUGCUUCCGAUUCAAUCCGCUAUGGCUCCAGGUCCUUCGCUAGCUCCGGCUCCGGCUCCGGGACCAGGAGGUGCUCGCAAACACUUCAACGGCGAUGCUCAGGUCAAAGAUUUCAUCCACACAUUGUUGCAUUACGGCGGAUACAACGAAAUGGCCGAUAUCCUCGUGAAUCUGACGUCGCUGGCGACGGAGAUGGGUAGAUUAGUGUCUGAAGGUUACGUCCUCACCGUGUUAGCUCCGAACGACGAAGCUAUGGCGAAAUUGACGACGGAUCAGCUGAGCGAGCCCGGAGCUCCGGAGCAAAUCAUGUAUUACCACAUUAUACCCGAGUAUCAGACGGAGGAGAGUAUGUAUAAUUCGGUUAGGAGAUUUGGGAAGGUCAAAUACGAAACGCUGCGUUUUCCUCACAAGGUUGGUGCUAAGGAAGCUGAUGGUUCGGUUAAGUUCGGUUCUGGUGACCGGUCGGCUUAUUUGUUUGAUCCGGAUAUUUACACCGACGGUCGGAUAUCGGUUCAAGGGAUCGAUGGUGUUCUGUUCCCAGAGGAGGAAGAAGAGACGGUUAAGAAAUCGACCGGUUCGGCUAAGAAAGUUGUUCAACCGAGAAGAGGUAUGAUUUGAUUCAUCUUUUGUUUGAUUUUAAUUUGUGUUUACUGUUUGGUAGCAUUAGGGAUUAUAGGGUGAAUUGAUCUAAACGUAGAUUCAUUGAGAUUAUAUUUAUAAUAUAACCAUCAUGUGUGAAUAAGUAGGUUUAUAUUUGUGUCAUGUUAGAAAGAAUCUGUUUUGGUUCAAAGUAAUUAGUUUCAAGACAUUGGAUUAGUCAUAUGAUCUCCGGCAAAACGAGCCAGACCAACGGAUGAUUCCGGUGAGAAGUAAUUAGAAAGAAAGAAUCAUGAGAAGCUUCUUCACAUUACCUAAAAAAGCAUCUUCUCACGUUUCUAAGCUUUCACUUAUUAAAUUUAGUUAAUUAAAUUAUUGGGUGUUUAAGCUUUUUUCUUUCAGAAAUAAUUUAAUAAGGUGACAGGAGAUUGUGAUUGUGAUUGAUAGUGAUGAUGACCUAAUAAUUAAAAGUUUAUUUCUGUAUUUAAAAACAGGGAAGUUGCUGGAAGUAGCAUGUAGAAUGCUUGGAGCAAUAGGCAAGGACUCAUAUCUAAGCAGAUGCUGAUGAAUUCAUCAAACCUGGAAGAGAUUAUUUAAGAAACAUCUCUCGAGUGUUGUCUGUAUACACAUAUCAAAGGUUAGUAUCUGCGGUUAAGAGUUUCGCGAUCGAUUAAAGGCGACGAACGAUCGAUUAAAGGCGACGAACGAUCGUUCAUGGACUCAAUAGUUUUCGUGUUAUUGCAGGUUCUUUGGACAAGGAUGAAAGACUUGGAGGAAAAGAGCAGGACAAACGAAACAAAACACAAGAGAGGGAAUAACAUCAAUGUUCAAAGCAUAUUCUUCAAUGGGAAUAUGAAAGAGGGGUUUUGUUGGAUUUUUAUUUCUAAUAUGAGAAAAGUAUAUUAUUAUUUUUAUUUUUGGGUGGGGGUUUUGAGUUUUGGGGGUUAUAAAUACUGUAAUUAGAUAGAUAUGUGAACUUCAUUUUUUCAAUUGAUUUGGUGUAAUGAAAAUGAAUCAUAAAGUGGGGAACAAAAGAAAAAGACUUUUUUUGAGUACCCACCACCACCACCACCAUUUUCUUCUCUCAACUCGUAAAUGAUCCCUCUUUCUUUUAGUUGGCCUUUUAAUUUGUGAAUGGUUUUAGAGUGCGUCAAAUUCCACUUCAUUAAAACAUCAUUAUAUCAUCAGAUAUAGAGUAAUUUGUAUUCAACGUUCUUUGCCGAAGUCUGUGUUACACAAACAAAGUUUAUUAACUCGGUGUUAUAACUGAGUAAUUUGUCUUAAUAUUCUGUGGUAAAAUAAUCUCCAUUUCGGUUGAAUUAUCAUUAUACUAAUAUUGAAAGGUAUGACUUUAUUUUGUUUUAUUUAUUUUUAUAGCGAAAUACAAAAAAAAGAAAAGAAAUGGAAGGUAUUAUAUAUAGAUUUGGUAAGAGCGAUGAUGAAACAUGUGUUGGAGAGAGGAGAUGAGUUGGCGUCCGGCUGUCUAUGUGAGAUAUUAUUAUCAUGAAAUAGAGGGAGAGACCCAAUUACACAACACAAAGCUUAAAGCUGGAUGACCUAUCAUUUUCAAUCGAUGACUUUUUCUAAUUUGUUCCCCUUCAGUCUCUUUAUUAGUAUAAUAGCUGUAUAUUUAGCUAGAGCUCUAAACAAGGUUUUAUCAACAGUAGUAGACCAUUUCAACCACUUAAACAAUAACUUGUUUUUGGUGUCUAUAGAUAUGAUAUCAUAAUACAAUGGAGCUGACUAUUUUUUUUUUAUAUAUAUUCUCUCUUCCUUUUUUCUAAUGAAAAACGCAGCGCACUUGAUAUUGAUAAUGCUGAAGGUGGCAAAGAUAGAAUGGCCCUACGCUCAAUAAUUUCACACUAGAAAAAGAACGACCUGCUGCAACUAGUCUCGGUUGUCUUCAUUCGUAUAUGCAGAGUUAGAGACCAGACCGGUAGGUAAGCUCAUGAGAAUACAAAAUACAUGGAUAUUAGACAAAACAGGAACUUCAAUAUCCGAGUGAAAUCACGGCCAAGAAACCGUCGACGAUUGCAAAGAGAGUCUUACAAAGGUCUUUGAUAAUAACUCAUUGGUAAUUCUUUUCUUGUUUAAACAAUUUGGUCUGCAAUUACAAGUAAUUUGAGAACAGAGCGCCAUAAUAGCCUAAUGACUACCAAACUUUAAAUGCUCAGUCGGUGC
rnacentral:lncRNA from 1 species